rnacentral:tRNA from 1 species
GGGGAUUUAGCUCAGUGGUAGAGCGCUUACCUAGGAAGCGCAAGGCCCUGGGUUCGGUCCCCAGCUCUGCUCUUCCAGAGGUCCUGAGUUCAAAUCUCAGCAACCACA